rnacentral:lncRNA from 1 species
CAUAAUUGAUUUUUCUUUGGUGAUUUAUAUGACUAAACCUGUUUGUUCGGUUUAAUUUAUCCUGAUUCUGUUUUACCUCAAAAGUUAAAUAAACAAAAGGGGAUACUUUCACCCCUUGUAAAUUUCCAAGUUACAGUAUACAUACAUCUAGUGGUCGAUUUAUUUCCAACUUUUCAGAUUUAUUAUUGUUUCAGUGACAAAUAUGUUUAUAAUACCCUGAUUUUGAGUUGUUUGCAUAGAUGUAAACUACACAUGUUUAACCUUUAACCUAGCCAGUUUUUGUAACACAAGUCCCACCUUUAAUCCAGUUGGUGUGUCAUUUGAAGAAACAACAUGUGUUUGCUUAAACUGUGAUAUUUUUAUAAAAUUCAGGGUUGAAUCUGUGAAAUUCCACUAUUUUAUUAUUGUAUAAUGUGUUUACAUUUUUGUGCACAAAACUUAUGCAUAUAUGUCUGUACAAUGUUAGGCAUAAUAUGGUUCAAGCAGCAAUUGUACAUUAAGUUGAACUUCAGGCAAGAAAUUGAAGAUUUUUACUGCAGAUUCAUGUGUCCAUCAUAAAUCAAGUUAAAAUUAUAUCUAUUUUGACAUUCAUAUUUUUCUUUUAUAAGUACAUUAAAUAAAUAUGUUUACAGGAAUUGUAUUUGCUAUAUCCAGUAGAUAUUAUAAUUUGGGG